rnacentral:rRNA from 1 species
UACGAACCGUACAAACGUUAUUCGGAAUCACUGGGCUUAAAGGGCGCGUAGGCGGUCUUGCAAGUCCUGUGUGAAAUCCCUCGGCUCAACUGAGGAACUGCACAGGAAACUGCUUGGCUUGAGUUCGGGAGAGGGAAGCGGAAUUCCGGGUGUAGCGGUGAAAUGCGUAGAUAUCCGGAGGAACACCGGUGGCGAAGGCGGCUUCCUGGACCGACACUGACGCUGAGGCGCGAAAGCUAGGGGAGCAAACGGG